rnacentral:rRNA from 1 species
GAUGAACGCUGGCGGCGUGCCUAAUACAUGCAAGUCGAGCGAACAGACGAGGAGCUUGCUCCUCUGACGUUAGCGGCGGACGGGUGAGUAACACGUGGAUAACCUACCUAUAAGACUGGGAUAACUUCGGGAAACCGGAGCUAAUACCGGAUAAUAUAUUGAACCGCAUGGUUCAAUAGUGAAAGACGGUUUUGCUGUCACUUAUAGAUGGAUCCGCGCCGCAUUAGCUAGUUGGUAAGGUAACGGCUUACCAAGGCGACGAUGCGUAGCCGACCUGAGAGGGUGAUCGGCCACCCUGGAACUGAGACACGGUCCAGACUCCUACGGGAGGCAGCAGUAGGGAAUCUUCCGCAAUGGGGGAACGCCUGCCGGAGAAACGCCGCGUGGGUGAUGAAGGUCUUCGGAUCUUAAAACUCUGUUAUUAGGGAAGAACAAAUGUGUAAGUAACUAUGCACGUCUUGACGGUACCUAAUCAGAAAGCCACGGCUAACUACGUG